rnacentral:snoRNA from 1 species
CCCAGUGGUAGUCAGCUGCCCAUGGCUGCUCAGUGCCUGUGCUAGUGUUAUGCUGCUGGGAGAGAAAGGUGCUGCCGAGUCUCCCUGGCACCAUCAGUGCUGUUCUGGUGCUCGGUGGUGCUGGGGUUUGGCAGUGCUCUGCAUGUGAGAGUGGAGUAACUCCUGCCUGUGGAGUUACAGCCUAGAUUGGAUGCAGACAAC